GUAGGUGGCAAGCGUUGUCCGGAAUUAUUGGGCGUAAAGCGCGCGCAGGGCGGUUCUUUAAGUCUGAUGUGAAAGCCCACGGCUCAACCGUGGGGGGUCAUUGGAAACUGGGGAACUUGAGUACAGAAGAGGAAAGCGGAAUUCCACGUGUAGCGGUGAAAUGCGUAGAGAUGUGGAGGAACACCAGUGGCGAAGGCGGCUUUCUGGUCUGUAACUGACGCUGAGGCGCGAAAGCGUGGGGAGCAAACAGGAUUAGAUACCCUGGUAGUCCACGCCGUAAACGAUGAGUGCUAAGUGUUAGGGGGUUUCCGCCCCUUAGUGCUGCAGCUAACGCAUUAAGCACUCCGCCUGGGGAGUACGGCCGCAAGGCUG
rnacentral:rRNA from 1 species